rnacentral:rRNA from 1 species
UAGGGAAUCUUCGGCAAUGGACGAAAGUCUGACCGAGCAACGCCGCGUGAGUGAAGAAGGUUUUCGGAUCGUAAAACUCUGUUGUUAGAGAAGAACAAGGACGUUAGUAACUGAACGUCCCCUGACGGUAUCUAACCAGAAAGCCACGGCUAACUACGUGCCAGCAGCCGCGGUAAUACGUAGGUGGCAAGCGUUGUCCGGAUUUAUUGGGCGUAAAGCGAGCGCAGGCGGUUUCUUAAGUCUGAUGUGAAAGCCCCCGGCUCAACCGGGGAGGGUCAUUGGAAACUGGGAGACUUGAGUGCAGAGGAGGAGAGUGGAAUUCCAUGUGUAGCGGUGAAAUGCGUAGAUAUAUGGAGGAACACCAGUGGCGAAGGCGGCUCUCUGGGCUGUAACUGACGCUGAGGCUCGAAAGCGUGGGGAGCAAACAGG